AGCCCCAAUUCAAGUCCAAGUCCAUAGUCCAUAUCCUUGUAGCCAAAAAGAAAAGAAUAAAACAUAAAAAAAAAGAGAAAAAGAAAGAAGAUGAGCGUGACUCAUCUUCAUCAUCUCCUUCUUCCUUCGUCCGGUUCUGGGCUCAAGAACCAAAAUUUUCAGCACCUCCUUCCUCCUCUUUCGUCCAGUUCAAGCUCACAAACCAAGAAAAUCUUCACCUCCCUCCUCUCCCUUCUCCUUCAUCUAAUACAAAGCACUCAAACCAAGAAAUUUUGCAAAGGCUACACCUCACCAUCCACCAUUGGAUGCUAACCGAAAAUUUCCUCUUAUAAAUACUGACUUCAUUCUCAUUUGAUUUCCCAAGCAAAACAACUCAAAAGACUCCGAUUUCUUAGACGAGGAAUACCAGGAGCGCUAAUACGUUCGUGAACUUAACUUUUGGGCACGCGUCACGAGAUGGCCAGGACACGUAUGACAGCCAGGCAAUGCACCAGAACAGCACGUCAAGGACCUUACCUUCUAAGGAUGAGGGCAGGAGAGUCGAUUUCAACUUACAUUUAUAAGUUAUGUUUAAUCAUGAAGUGUUAUCACCUUAAUGAAGGUCACGGGUAUUCGGAUCACCUCACGCCACCUAAGCAAGCCAAUGUCUUAAUUCACACUCUCCCUAACAACGACCCUUAUGCCGAAAUCAAGAACGAAUACUCUGACAUUCUAAAAAAUGGAAGGCCAAACUAUGAGCGCUACACAUGGAAAGGGAAGUGGUAUCUCACGUUGAGUUACCUGGAGAAAAGAAUGCUCGAUGCCAGAGCUAAGUGGCUUAAUGACUACGGAACCUCCGAUGACGAUGAACCCGACUACAGUAACAAUGAAAAAAUAGAAAGAAGCCCCGUCUCACUAGUUGAAAACCCUGGAGAAAAUGAAAACAAAGAUGAGGAAGAAGACCCGUCCGAGGAUGAAGAGUAAAACCUUCGACCUUUGCUAGCCUUAACCACUCGGAAUCUAAACCCGUAGUAGAUUUAUUAACGUUAGUGUUAACUUAUUUGCUUUGUGAUGCUAGUAUUUCUUAGUUAUGAAACCUAAGAUGACUCUUAUGUGAUGAAUGCAAUGUGCAUGAUACUCUUGGAGUGAAUGAAAUGAUGAAAUUUUGGUAUAUGACCUGAAUAUACUGUGUGCAAAAGUGAAUGAAUCAAAUGAGCUUUGAUUAUGCAUUUAUGUGAAUUAAGCCUUAUUUAAGGAUCAAUGUGAAUGGUGGGAACACCAAUGGGAAUAAUACAGAUAGCUUAUGCAAUACUUUUAUACACGAUCUAGAGUAAGGAGACAAGAAAACCAAAUGGCCGAAACUCCUGAACAAGUUGCAACACGACUUAGGACUCUCGAGCAACUAGCUCAAAACUUUGGCUUAGUUUUUCAAAACCAGCUCAACAACCACUAUGGAGAUGAUCCGCAAGCUGCAAUGGCGAAAAAGAUUUUCACCUUGAAACCACUAACCUUUGUUGGUAGAGAAAAUCCAUUACUUCUCGAAAAUUGGAUAAGAGACUUCGAAAAGAUUUUCACGGCCACGAGUACGCCUGAGGCCUAGAAAGUAGACCAAGCGACCUUUUACUUGCACGAGGACGCUGAUACUUGGUGGGAAAGUGCACCGGAGCCCAAAUUCAAGUCCAAGUCCAUAGUCCAUAUGCUCUGUAGCCAAAAAGAAAAAAAUUAAAACAAAAAAAAAGAGAAAGAAAGAAGAUGAGCGUGACUCAUCUUCAUCAUCUCCUUCUUCCUUCGUCCGGUUCUGGGCUCAAGAACCAAAAUUUUCAGCACCUCCUUCCUCCUCUUUCGUCCAAUUCAAGUUCACAAACCAAGAAAAUCUUAACCUCCCUCCUCUCCCUUCUCAUUCAUCUAAUACAAAGCACACAAACCAAGAAAUUUUGCAAAGGCUACACCUCACCAUCCACCAUUGGAUGCUAACCGAAAAUUUCCUCCUAUAAAUACUGACUUCAUUCUCAUUUGAUUUCCCAAGCAAAACAACUCAAAAGACUCCGAUUUCGUAGACGAGGAAUACAAGGAGCGCUAAUACGUUCGUGAACUUAACUUUUGGGAACGCGUCACGAGGUGGGUGAUCGAGCGGGGGAACAAAAGGGAGAUCAUUUAGAGUUGUCAUUCACUUAGCAUAUGAUUAGCUUCCGCUGGAACUCUAAACACUUAAUUAAUUAGUGAUGUUUAAUGAAUAAUUUACUUAGUUGUAAUGGUUAAUGAAUUUUAGUUGGUGUGUUGUAACUUAGCCUUGCAUUUAUUUCCAAGGAGAUAAUUGCGGCGGUAGCACCACCCGCCGAGUCGAACCCUCGUGGAUUUAUUUUCCCGCAAAACCCAAGUUUUAUCGAAUAAGGAAGGGUUCGGGUCGGCGGGGGUGUUACAGUUUCAACCAGAAAAAAAAUAUUUUUAAAACCCGACACCGCGACUCCGAUGACUUGGCCGGAGUCCGGCGCCGGUCUUCUUCUUCUUUCUUCUAUCUCUUUCUUCUUCUUUCUCUUUCUUCUUUCCUCUCUUUCUUCUGGUUCUCGUUUGUGCAGGUUGCAAAAGGAGCUUUGCUCCUUAAAUUGGUACACUUUUUGAUAUUUUUUUAAAACAAAAAAAAGGAAAAGUUGUACAUACAUGUGCAGCAAGUUCACGUGGGUUUGUGACUUGCUGUCACAUGAAAUUUUUUCACAAUUUUUUUUCUUUCAAUAUGUGAGUGUCACGUUUUUUUUUGUUUCAAGUAAAAGUUUUUUUAUUUCUUUUCAACCUUGGUUAUUUAGCUUUGUUAGUUACUACUAAUUUUGUAACCUUGGUUAAUUAUUUUCGGGAUAUUAUAUUAAGUGACUAACUUUAGGUAAUAUUAUUUGUUGUAGACGAAAAUUUCGUAGAAGGCGACGUUUAGUUGAUAUUGCUAUACUUGGGACGCGUUCGAGGUUGGUGAAAGGGACUACGUUGCAGGAAUGAGUGGAUUUUGUAGUUUUUAAGUUCACCUAGUUUAAUAAAUAUUAUAGUACUGUUAUUUGAGAUUGUUUAGUUUUGGUUUGGUUUAAAUUAGACAACUUAGUUUGGUUUA